rnacentral:sRNA from 1 species
CAGUAGCAACUCAUGGAGUGCAAGCGAUGUGGACCUCCGUCCUGCUGCUCGUGACGGUCGAAAUGCCAGGACCAGCCAGAGAAGCUCGUCAAAAAGGAGACGCUCACUGAGCACCAAGAUGACGCUCCAGAAGAUCGACCAUGUGGCCCAGCCAACUGGGAUGAUCCUGUGCGACCUUUGCUACCGCACCUAGGAGCUUGCACCGAUGCGCAACGACAGCCGGCAUGGGUUUGAUGGCCUGUUCCAGACCUUGGGCACCACCAUUAAGCGCUUCAACUAGGCUAUACACUUUCCGGCCCUCGUACUUCCUUCCUUCUCAGAUGCAGCAGAAGGUGGAGGCCAUGAAGGAGCUCAACGAGGUGCUCAAGGCGCUUACCCUUAAUCGACCACCAAUUAAGCAAAUGUAAGACAUUGGCUCAUUUCGUUAUAUAUUCCUUGCCAUUGCAGUUUCCCAUUUGGAGCUCGACAAAGACGAGUUGGACAAAGAGCUGCUUGCAGUUGCGCAGCUACGUGGUGGCAUGACAGUGCGGCACCUUAAAGCGCUCCUUGAUGCGAAUCGCAUAUGUUUUGGCUAGACUAGAUGCACCAGUAGCGUCAGUACUAUAUAUUGGCAAUAAAGCUUUGUUUUUACGAUAUAAUUAUAAUAGAGAGAGAGAGAGCCAAUGACUUACGCCGAGAGUAAGAUCACGCACGUUUUCCUUGCUGCAUUUGCUGUUCCUUUGCUUUCCCUAUUGGUGAUGACACGGCUUGAUCUGAACGCCAGAGCUGAAGCCCCUGCGAUCUAAUCCAGGAAGUUCCUUUGCGCCAUGUACUGUGUGGUUAGUAGCAGGACCAAUAGCAUUCUAUGAAAAAGGAACUGCUUGCGAAGACUUGGGAAAUUCUGCUUUGAAGUGCCUAAUAAUUCUACAUAUAUGUAUGCCUGAUUGCGAGGACGAUGUCCGACGAAUUCGAGUCUGAGGCUUAUCCCGCAGAGCUAGAAGAGUUAAUAGAAAUACUGUAAAGAACGUAUUAAAUAUCACUUUAAUAAAAAAUUGU